UCAAGCUUAUGAUGAAGAUUUUGAGUAUGGGUCCCAGUUGCCAGAGUGUCUUCUAAGAAACUGGUCAAAAUCCAAAAAGUGGUUCCUGGAACUGUUUGAGAAAAACAUUCCAGAUAUAAAAGCAUGUAAAUCUGCAAAAGAUAAUUCCAUGGUUGCAUUUUGGACACUUGCAUACGUCCUUUCUCAUCCUGAUAUCCACAAGGCCAUUAUGGAAGGCAUAUCUUCUGUGUUUGGCAAAGCAGGCAAAGAUAAGAUUAAAGUGUCUGAGGAUGACCUGGAGAAACUCCUUCUAAUUAAAUGGUGUGUUUUGGAAACCAUUCGUUUAAAAGCUCCUGGUGUCAUUACUAGAAAAGUGGUGAAGCCUGUGGAAAUUUUGAAUUACAUCAUUCCUUCUGGUGACUUG
rnacentral:sRNA from 1 species